rnacentral:rRNA from 1 species
UAUUCUGGUGUCCUAGGCGUAGAGGAACCACACCAAUCCAUCCCGAAUUUGGUGGUUAAACUCUACUGCGGUGACGAUACUGUAGGGGAGGUCCUGCGGCAAAAUAGCUCGAUGCCAGAAUGAUAAAAAGCUUAACACCUCUUAUUUGACUUUUUCACUAUUUUGAAAUACGAAAAAGAUCCAAAUCCAAAACGCAAAGGUCCUCUUAUUCAAAACCUCAAUCAUCACAUCCCCUUCACACCUCAGAACGCACUGUUCUUAUAGAGAGAAAGGCGCUUUCCCAUCUUCUUAACCCGAAAUGAAAUGGCUGAGGAGAAGAAGGUUCCUUUUGGGGGGUACCCCCGAGAAGAGAUCCAGUGGAGACGGGGU